CGCAGAGUGUAAAGGCACAAGGGAGCUUGACUGCGAGACUGACAAGUCGAGCAGGGACGAAAGUCGGGCUUAGUGAUCCGGUGGUUCCGCAUGGAAGGGCCAUCGCUCAACGGAUAAAAGCUACCCCGGGGAUAACAGGCUUAUCUCCCCCAAGAGUCCACAUCGACGGGGAGGUUUGGCACCUCGAUGUCGGCUCGUCGCAUCCUGGGGCUGUAGUCGGUCCCAAGGGUUGGGCUGUUCGCCCA
rnacentral:rRNA from 1 species